AUUCCCAUUUUAUCCUUAAUUGGUUUUAACCAAUUUACCAUUUCAUUUUUACCAUUCUGUUGAAAAUUGCAAAAAUUACACUUUCACACCCCUCGCACCGGAACUCUUUGGAGAAGACUUCCGGUAUGUAUUUUCCAAACCGGAAGACUUUAGGAAAGACUUCCGGAACACAAAAAAAAAACAAACCGGAACACUUAAGGAAAGAGUUCCGGUUCAUAUAAAAAAAAAUUCAAAAAAAUUUGCAUACCGGAACUCUUCUCCAAAGAGUUCCGGUAUGCAUUAUGUGUGUUCCGGAAGUCU
rnacentral:lncRNA from 1 species